ensembl:snRNA Gm23614 predicted gene, 23614
UUGCUUGCUUCGUCAGCACAUAGACUAAAAUUGGAACAAUACAGAGAAAAUUAGCAUGGCCCCUGCACAAGGAUGACACGCAAAUUCAUGAAGCGUUCCAUAUUUCU